AGAACGAACGCUGGCGGCGUGCCUGAGACAUGCAAGUCGUGGGAGAAAGUCGGAGCAAUCCGGCGAGUAAACCGGCGCACGGGUGAGUAACACGUGGACAACCUGCCCUGGAGACUGGGAUAACCCGUCGAAAGACGGACUAAUACCGGAUAAGACCACGAGGGGUUCGCCCCUUGGGGUAAAAGGUGGCCUCUGCUUUUGCAAGCUAAUACUUCAAGAAGGGUCCGCGUCCUAUCAGCUAGUUGGUGAGGUGACGGCUCACCAAGGCGAAGACGGGUAGCUGGUCUGAGAGGAUGGUCAGCCACACUGGGACUGAGACACGGCCCAAACUCCUACGGGAGGCCAGCAGUGGGGAAUAUUGGACAAUGGGCGCAAGCCUGAUCCAGCCAUGCCGCGUGAGUGAUGAAGGCCCUAGGGUUGUAAAGCUCUUUUGUGCGGGAAGAUAAUGACGGUACCGCAAGAAUAACGCCCGGCUAACUCGUGCCAGCAGCCGCGGUAA
rnacentral:rRNA from 1 species